CAGCAUGUAUGGUAGCCUUAGGAAUCCGGAGUUUGAGCUGGGUAGCUUGCUCCCUGAUGUUAGCGGCGGAGGGGUGAGUACACGUGGGUAACCUGCCUGUAAGACUGGGAUAACUCCGGGAAACCGGGGCUAAUACCGGAUGGUUGUUUGAACCGCAUGGUUCAAACAUAAAAGGUGGCUUCGGCUACCACUUACAGAUGGACCCGCGGCGCAUUAGCUAGUUGGUGAGGUAACGGCUCACCAAGGCAACGAUGCGUAGCCGACCUGAGAGGGUGAUCGGCCACACUGGGACUGAGACACGGCCCAGACUCCUACGGGAGGCAGCAGUAGGGAAUCUUCCGCAAUGGACGAAAGUCUGACGGAGCAACGCCGCGUGAGUGAUGAAGGUUUUCGGAUCGUAAAGCUCUGUUGUUAGGGAAGAACAAGUACCGUUCGAAUAGGGCGGUACCUUGACGGUACCUAACCAGAAAGCCACGGCUAACUACGUGCCAGCAGCCGCGGUAAUACGUAGGUGGCAAGCGUUGUCCGGAAUUAUUGGGCGUAAAGGGCUCGCAGGCGGUUUCUUAAGUCUGAUGUGAAAGCCCCCGGCUCAACCGGGGAGGGUCAUUGGAAACUGGGGAACUUGAGUGCAGAAGAGGAGAGUGGAAUUCCACGUGUAGCGGUGAAAUGCGUAGAGAUGUGGAGGAACACCAGUGGCGAAGGCGACUCUCUGGUCUGUAACUGACGCUGAGGAGCGAAAGCGUGGGGAGCGAACAGGAUUAGAUACCCUGGUAGUCCACGCCGUAAACGAUGAGUGCUAAGUGUUAGGGGGUUUCCGCCCCUUAGUGCUGCAGCUAACGCAUUAAGCACUCCGCCUGGGGAGUACGGUCGCAAGACUGAAACUCAAAGGAAUUGACGGGGGCCCGCACAAGCGGUGGAGCAUGUGGUUUAAUUCGAAGCAACGCGAAGAACCUUACCAGGUCUUGACAUCCUCUGACAAUCCUAGAGAUAGGACGUCCCCUUCGGGGGCAGAGUGACAGGUGGUGCAUGGUUGUCGUCAGCUCGUGUCGUGAGAUGUUGGGUUAAGUCCCGCAACGAGCGCAACCCUUGAUCUUAGUUGCCAGCAUUCAGUUGGGCACUCUAAGGUGACUGCCGGUGACAAACCGGAGGAAGGUGGGGAUGACGUCAAAUCAUCAUGCCCCUUAUGACCUGGGCUACACACGUGCUACAAUGGACAGAACAAAGGGCAGCGAAACCGCGAGGUUAAGCCAAUCCCACAAAUCU
rnacentral:rRNA from 1 species